CCAACCCAGCGCCCCCCGACAGCCCCCCCCCCGCACACGGGGAUGCACCGUGGCCUGACCUCUGACCUCUGAUCUCUCCUGAUGACCCUUGAGAUCUCCGGCGGUGACCUCUCUUGAGGUGACUUCUGACGUCUCUGGAGGUGACCUCUUCUGAUUUGACCUUUGGGCUCUCCAUUGGUGACCUCUGACCUCUGUGGGUGACCUCUGCUCUCUACCGGUAACCUCUGACCUUUCCUAGGACGACUUCUUCUGGUGUGCUCUCUGACCUCCCCUGAUGACCCUUGACCUCUCUUGCAGUGAUCUCUCCUGAGGUGAUCUCUGACCUUUUCUGCUGAACCAUGACCUUUCCUGGUGACCUCUGACCUCUUCUGGGGUGACCUCUGACCUCUCCUGCUGUCACCUCUGACCCCAGAUUGGGCUCUUGUGACCUCUCCUGGUGCCCUCUGACCUCUUCUUCACCUUCGCUCAUGACCUCUGGUUUCUCCCUGUGACCUCUGAACUCUGAACUUUCCAGUUGACCUUUGACCUCAGACUGACUUUUGGUGGUGACCUCUGGUAACCUUUGUCCUCAGGCUGACCCAUGACAAUAACCUCUGAACUUCUCCUGAACUUUCCUGCUGACCCUUCUGACUUCAGCCUGACCUCUGACCUCUGCUUGACCUCUUGGUGGCCUUUGACCCCGGUGGUGACCUCCCCGCUCCCUCUCAGCACUUUGCUCCAUCCCUUUGCCCUCUGACUCCCGGGUGGGAGAAGUGGGGAGGGGGGAAACCUUUGCACUUUGCCCCCGUGACCUCUGCACUGUGACCUGUGACCCGGAAGUGCCUUUCUCUGCCACCCAUCCCAAAGGGGGUGGGGUGGAGCUGUCAAUAAAGGCGCGGUGCCACCGCCAAUGACGUCAUCAAAGGGGGCGGGGCAACAGGGUGAUGUCACAGAUAUUGGGGAUCUGUAUGUAAACAUUGGGGGGGCCUAUAUAAAUAUAGGGGUGCUGGGAGGGACCCUAAAUAUAAGGGUUGGGGAGAUCCUACAUAGAGGGGGUACGGAAAUAUUCUGGGAUGGAGACUCUAAAUGUUCUCAUUGGGGUUGGAGGUGAUCCUAUUAAACAUGGGGGGAUGGAAGCCCUACAUAAACAUUGGGGUUGGGGAGGGGCGACCCUAUGUAAACACGGGGGAUAGGAGCCCUAUAUGAACAUUGGGGUUGGCGGGGGAGGGGGUGGCUCUAUAUAAACAUGGGGGGAUGGGAGCCCGAUAUAAACACUGGGGUAUGGGGGAGACCGUAGGUAAAUAUUGGUGGUGGGGUGAUCCGACAUAAAGCACCACUAAACCGACCCUAUACAAACGCGGGCGGGGAAGACAAAAUUCCAUAUAAAUGCUCCUCUGUAGCCCCGCCCCCGCCACGUGACUCCAGGCGGCGUCCCCCAUUGGCUGAGGGCGUCGGGCGGCGCUGAUUGGUCGGUGUUGCUCGCGUGACCGCGGCGCCGUGAGAAGAACGCGGAGAGGCGGUUUCUGUGGUUACGGAGGUACUUCCUGCGGCACUGAGGUGACUUCCGGUGUUUCUGAUGCGGCCCUCCCGUGUCUUUGAGUAGUUUCUCCGGGACUUCCUGUACCCCUAAAAGUGGAUUCCGGUGCUUCAAUCUGGAGCACUUCCGGAUUCGCUGCUGUUUCCAUGGUUACGGAGGUGCCUGUCGCUAAUCCCCAGGCACUUUCGGUUGCGAGGGGCCUAUUUCCGUUCCAGCUCUACCGCAACAAAUCCCAUCGUUCCCGCGCCGAUUUCUGCUCUUACCCCCUAACUUCCGUUACCGCGUUUCCGAUUCCGGCCUCCCGAAAUUUCCGGUUCCGCCGCCAUGCCGCUCCCCGCCGCCCUGCAGUGCCGUUUGGCCAAGCGCGGUCUGCUCAAACACGUGGAGCCCGAGCCAGAGGAGGAGAUCAUUGCAGAGGAUUACGACGACGCCCACGUGGACUACGAAGCGUCACGACUGGAGGGGCUGCCCCCCCCUGGUACAAGUGCUGGACCCCACCUGGUGAGCGGGGCUGGGGGGGGAA